rnacentral:rRNA from 1 species
AGUGAACGCUGGCGGUAAGCCUAACACAUGCAAGUCGAACGGCAGCACAGUAAGAGCUUGCUCUUACGGGUGGCGAGUGGCGGACGGGUGAGGAAUACAUCGGAAUCUACUUUUUCGUGGGGGAUAACGUAGGGAAACUUACGCUAAUACCGCAUACGACCUACGGGUGAAAGCAGGGGAUCUUCGGACCUUGCGCGAUUGAAUGAGCCGAUGUCGGAUUAGCUAGUUGGGGGGGUAAAGGCCCACCAAGGCGACGAUCCGUAGCUGGUCUGAGAGGAUGACCAGCCACCGUGGAAGUGAGACACGGCCAAGACACCAACGGGAGGCGAGGGUGGGAAAUAUGGCCGAUGGUCCGCAGCCCGACCCGACCCACCCCGCGUGGGUGAAGAGGCCUUCCGGGUUGUAAUCCCCUUUUUUGGAAAAAAAAAAGCAACAGCUUAACACCCACCUGUCCUGCCGGCCCCAAAAGAAGAGCCCCCGCCUAACUUCGUC